UGGGGAAUUUUGGACAAUGGGCGCAAGCCUGAUCCAGCCAUGCCGCGUGCGGGAAGAAGGCCUUCGGGUUGUAAACCGCUUUUGUCAGGGAAGAAAUCUUCUGAGUUAAUACCUCGGGAGGAUGACGGUACCUGAAGAAUAAGCACCGGCUAACUACGUGCCAGCAGCCGCGGUAAUACGUAGGGUGCAAGCGUUAAUCGGAAUUACUGGGCGUAAAGCGUGCGCAGGCGGUUUUGUAAGACAGAGGUGAAAUCCCCGGGCUCAACCUGGGAACUGCCUUUGUGACUGCAAGGCUUGAGUGCGGCAGAGGGGGAUGGAAUUCCGCGUGUAGCAGUGAAAUGCGUAGAUAUGCGGAGGAACACCGAUGGCGAAGGCAAUCCCCUGGGCCUGCACUGACGCUCAUGCACGAAAGCGUGGGGAGCAAACAGGAUUAGAUACCCUGGUAGUCCACGCCCUAAAACGAUGUCAACUGGUUGUUGGGAAGGUUCCUUCUCAGUAACGUAGCUAACGCGUGAAGUUGACCGCCUGGGGAGUACGGCCGCAAGGUUGAAAACUCAAAUGAAUUGACGGGGUCAUAGCUGUUUCCUG
rnacentral:rRNA from 1 species